rnacentral:SRP_RNA from 14 species
AGGUGUGGAAGGCAGCAGCGAUGAGCCCGUGCUUGGUGGCGGCG